GGUAUGUUGGCUCAGUAGAGCGUCCGCCUCACAACCGGAAGGUCGUGGGUUCGAACCCCGGCCGCGUCA
rfam:Strongylocentrotus purpuratus Contig129852_fixed, whole genome shotgun sequence.